GCUGAACACCCCCAGCUCCCUCAGCCUGUCUCCAUACACUCACUACAAUAGCUCAGUAGUCUUUUGAAAUUGAAUAGAUCUUAUAAAUGUUGCAUGCUGGUCCUUGUAGCUAAACAAUCAAAUCUAAGAUGGAUUUAAUGAGAAUUUGAUUCUUCCUCAAAAUAAGUACUUUGGCUCAAACUCUGAAAUAGCAUUUUAACUCCUGUCAGGAACCAUCUUCCCUUUCUUGUUUCAGGUACUUUUUUAUUUUAUUUUAUUAUCAAUAUAUUUUUUAUGGACAGAAGCUAGAAAGUUUAAAUGAUGUAGCUUUUUGAUUCUGUCUGGCAUGUACAUUAGGUAGCAUUUGUGGGAAGAACAACAAUGUUGUUUAAUCAUAUGUCCUUGUAUUUUACUGCAAUAACUAGGAUUUAUCCAUAUGCCCCAACACUGUGAUUGGUAGAUGCAGGGGAACUGUUACUUCAUGACCUGAACUGAUGAUUGAGCACCUGAUGAAGAGGGUGGCUGGCCCAGGGAGCACAGGUGUAAUCAAUUCACUGGUGCUUCCCACCUGAGGAGAAGGGUCACCCUUCCCUGGGCUCAUUUAAGGGCUAGCCUCCAAAGGGAGAAUGUUUUCUGAGUGAAGCCUGUUUGCUGGAAAGGCUUUUUCUACAGUUGGAAAGACUUUCAUCACUGGUUGGCCUCCUCUCAUCCUGCCUGCUGCAACCAGCAGAGACCUGGGGCUCAGACCACGACCACAAAAGGCAAGGAAAGGCAGAGUCAAGGCAGCCACAGCAAAGCCAGCAAAGGACAAAAGGACACUGAUGGGCCACAUGGUUCUGCUGCCUGAAAACAAGAGAAGCAACAAAAUUGUUAGCUUGUGAGAAUACAAGUUACUCAGUGCAAUCAGACAGCUCUCUGUGGCUGCCCUUCCAAUCUGCUCUGGUAAGAUAUUUUUGUCACCACACUCGACAGAGGGAUACCUAUGCCACUGCAGGGGGCUGCACUCCAGAUUUUCCUUGGAGAACACAUGGGUGGCACAUUUACAAACAAGACAGGAAAUCUUAGAUCACAGAAUCAUACAAUUUUUUGAGUCGGAAGAGACCUUAAAUGUCAUCUAGUCCAACUCCUCUGCAAUGAAUAGGGACAUCUGCAGCUUGUCAGGUUGUUCAGAGCCUAGUCCAGCCUGACCUUGAAAUGCUGGCUGCAAACCAAAGAAGUGCUGCUGGGGUAUCUA